rnacentral:lncRNA from 10 species
CUGGGCAUGAUAUAAAAUACUGUCAUUAAACCUUAACAGAAUUCUCCAACUGUUAUAUCUGUCAUUAGGGAGGUUUUAAAACUCAAUGGGCUGAGUGUGGUGGCUCAUGCCUGUGAUUCCAGCUACUUAGGAUGCUAAGGUAGGAGGAUCACUUGAGAUCAGGAGUUCAACACUAGCCUGGGCAACAUAGCGAGACUCCUGUCACUAAAAAUAUAAAGAAAAUUAGCCAGGGUGGUGACACACACCAAUAAUCAGUCCCAGCUACUUGGGGGAUUGCUUAAUCUCAGGAGUUUGAGGCUGUGAUCACACCACUGCACUCUGGCCUCAGUAACAAGGGAAGACCCUAUCUCUAAAAAAUAAAUUAAUCAGUUAACUUAAUUUAAUUAAAAAUCUUAAUGGAGGAGGAAAAAUGAGGCUUUUAUUCUCAGAUUCUUUAAAAUAAAAUUCAUCUCCCUUCCUUUCAUACACAAGGAAACUACAGGAUGAUGUUAAAUGUACCUACCACUCAUCCAUCUUUCCUUUUAUUUCUUCAACAAAUAUUUAUUAGGUUCCUAAAAACAAAUAAUGAAAGUCACCUACACUGCCCUAGAAGUAUUCAUAAUCUAAUAUGGGCAGAAAAAACUAUAACAAAUAACUAAAAUGUGUCAUAAGAGGUACAAAGGAAUUAUGGUAAUGCAGCAGUCCCCAACCUUUUUGGCACCAGGGACUGGUUUUGUGGAAGACAAUUUUUCCAGGGACAAGGUUAGGGGGGAUGGUUUCAAGAUGAAACUGUUCCUCCUCAGACCGUCAGGCAUUAGUUAGAUUCUCAUAAGGAGCACGCAACCUAGAUCCCUUGCACGCACUGUUCACAACAGGGUUCGCGCUCCUGUGAGUAUCUAACGCUGCCACUGAUCUGAUAGGAGGCAGAGCUUAGGCAGUAAUGCUCGCUCACUGCUGCUCACCUCCUGCUGAGUGGCCUGGCUCCUAACAGGCCACAGACUGGUACCAGUCUGAAGCCCAGGGGUUGGGGACCCCCUUAUUAAACCAUCUGAGACAGCCACCUUGAACAGGGUUGGCUUGCAUACACACAAAUACUAGUUUCUUUUCUUUACCUAAUCAGGGGAGUUAAAAGAGAAGGAUAUAAAACCAAGUUUGACUGUCAAAAGAAAGGUUUUAGGAAGGAAGAAAAUGACAUUUAACAGGGGGAUAAAGGUGGUAUGUGACUUCUGGCUCAGUCCCUUGGAUGGAACUCUUAUUGCAGGAAAAAAAAAAGGCAAACCAUUACAUUCUUAUAUAAUUUUUAUCAAGUCAUAUAGGAAACUGAAAUCAUUGCCCCAUCUUGUUCAUUUGAAUAAUAUCUAGCCAAAACUCUAUGGGUAAACAUCAGGAGUAACAUAGGAUCCAGAAUGAGCUAAAAGAUUUGACAGCAAUUAGACACUAUGUGGAAGAUUAACCACAUAAAAAAAUCAAAGUCACGUUUAUUGAAUUUUCUCAUUUCAAAAGGACCCAACCAUUAUAAUCAGUAUAAACAAUUACUUUCAACUAGUGUAUAGUCUGUUAAUUUGUUUUCUAUUUGAAAAUCUUAAGGAUAGACAUCUGGUUUUAUAUUGGUAUUUGGUCGAUUUCCUGAUUAUGCUAACCUUAUUUGAUUGAGAAUAUAUUAGACAUAGAAUGAGGCAAGGAGGAUAGGAGAGAAUAUGAGGGCCAAACAUAAUCUCCUAUUCUCAGUUCCUGUGUAGAAAAUCUUCAACUAAAUGUCUAACAGUUCUCUCAGUAAUCAAUAAUAGGCACUGUUAUCAUCUCAUAUUUUGAGUUCCUAAUAUGUUCCAAGCACCGAGCAAGGUACUGAGGAUAGAGUGGAAAAUAAGACAGAUAAAGUCCCUAACUUCAUGUAGCUUCAAAUGAGAAACAGAAAAUGAAGACGUAAACAAACGAAUAAAAUGAUUACAGAUCACGCUGUGAAACAAAUUUUUUAAAUGCCAGGAUAAGUUGUUUCAGGCAGAAAAUAGGAAAGCGGUCAGCAUAUUUGAAAAUGGAAAUGAGGUAGGUUGAACUUAAGUAUGGUAAAUGAGAGGAAACAAUAUUAUGAGAUGAGUUUAAGGAGAUGGAAAGAAACCAGAUCUUUCAGGAUCUCAUAAAGCAUGAUAAGGAAUCUGUAGCUUCUCAACACUAGUAGUUAGAGCCUUUUGAUGUGGAUUUAUUGGCCAUUAAAAUUCAUAUCUCUUGCUGCUCUGAUGACUUUUAAAAACUGAUUUGUAGGGAUUCUUUGUGUAAACACUAAUGCUUGAUCUGAUAUAUCAAAUUGUGUGAAUGCUUAACAGACCAAGCAUUAGUAUUCACACAUUCAUGUGCAUGUGUACAUGUGUGUGUGUGUGUAGUAUCUUAUGCAUCUUACCCUAGAGGAUGCCACUCACGUAACUUUAUUUUUAUUAUGUAUAUAAUAAUCAGGUACACAAUAUCUGUUUUUUGAAAAGCUUACUAAUACAGCAGAAUCUAUCUACUUUCAUUUCCUUAGUUUGAAGGUGAGUAUACAAAAUUCACAAUCUCUACUUUGAAUAAUCUUGAAAUAAAACAUGAGAUUAAGUGCAUGGUACCAAUCAUUAAAUUCUGUAUACAUAAAACAGAACAGGAGGGCAUCAGAAAUGUUACCUAAUUUAUUUAAUAAAUCUCCCCCUUCCAUAUAUCCCUCUCCUAGCCCUGAUUAUCAGAAAUAUUUUCAAAUUGCAGUUUUCUCCUUAACUGAUCCUCGCAGGUCUUGUCCAUCAGGACAAAUUCCAAACCUGUAAAGACACUCAAAAUGGAGUUAAUCAUACAUCCCAGUUUGUCUAGAAAAGCCCUGGUAUACGCACUCGUUGUCUAGUGUACCCACUAAGACAGCCUCCUAUUAUUCUCACAAGCAUCCCAAUUUAGACCAUUAAUUAUAUAAUCACAACACUAUGAACAACAGAAAGAGUUGAACUUUGAAACUGGAAAGCUAUAUCCAACUUUGAAAAACUCAUAUAACUUCCUUAAGCUUCAAUUCAUAAAGACAAUGACAAUAAUACUGUAGAAUCAAAUAACUUUAUGUUCACCGUCUUAGUUCCUAGCAGGCACUCAAUAAAUAUUAAUUAGUGUCCCUAUUCCUACCCUCUUUCUCCAACAAUAUAUCAAAUUCAAGCAGUUUAUCCAUUAAUCCUCUUCUAACUCUUGUUUAUUACUCCUGUUAUUUUAACGAGAUGAAACAAACUCUCAUAGCCAUUUUUUAAAGCAAUCUAGUACAAUAAAAACUUUGGACUAGAAGUUAAAAGGUAAAGAUUUAAGUACCAACUAGUUCUGCCACUCACUAGCUGUUCAUCUUAAGUAAAAUUUAUUAAUCUUCAUUAGACUGCUUCCUCAUAUGAAAAAUUGGGAUACAGUUUAUAUGCCCUAUCAAAAGGUACUGUCAUGAUAGGAAAAACUGAAAUAAUGUCAAUAAAUGGAGUUGUAAAUUGUAAAGCAGUAGAGAAAUGUUUACACUAACUUUUAAAAUAACAAUAACUCAGCUUUAUCAUGAGUCUACUCAGAUAGAUUAUCAUACAAAUUGUUAAGUAUGGGGAAAGGGGAGAAAUGCCUCAUGUUGCAACAACUAUCCAAGUUUCUACUGUCUAAGAAAUACCUCCUUUUUGCCUAUCCCUAGCCACUGCUCCACAGUUUUAGUAUUAACCAAAAAAAUACUUGGGCAAAAAUCAGCUAAAUUGUGCAAACAAAUAGGGUAUUUCGUAUAAUGUAGCAUAGGUUUAAUUAAAUAGUCUGUCAUUGGGGAUCCAACCAGGAAAACAAAAACAGCCCUAUAUAACAGAUAGAAUUCAAUGCAGGAAAUUGGCUAUAGCAUUGACAAAAAAAGAAAAACAAAAAAACACAAAGCCAAAAACGGGGACAGUGAGACAGCAAAGAUUAGCAGAGGAGGAAACUGCUAUACCUGUAGGGUAGAGGGCAAAGAGAGGAAGCAGUACCUCCAGAUGAAAGCUGGAGUUAUAGCAGGUCUGUCCUGUGAGAGGUGGACUCACAGAGGAAAUACAGCCACUGUCAGAAUCAUUUCCCAAUGCAAAGAGAGUAGGGA